GGACUGGAGGAGCGGUAGGGGUUCGGUCUCUCAGCCCGCAGUCACUCAGCCCUUGCUCUGAGUCACCGUACACGCACUUCAAGGAAGUGAUACCGAGCACCGAACUGACCUCAGCCGCCGAGUUUCCUCGUUACAGGAGGCAGCAUCAUCUGGAGUUUUAAAGCACCAGAUGAUCCCCAGGCAAAGGCAGCAUAGGUACAAUGCUUGUGUUACCAGUGGGGGUCUGAAACCAGCUGCCCAAACAGCAAACUUAGACUUGCUAUCACUUGGAGAGCACCUGGGAAGCAGAACGAAGAUGUGUAGAUGCAAACCAGUUCAGCCCUCGAUUUCUGUGACCCAGGCUGCUGACUCAGCAACACCUAUGUUAAAGCGAUCAGGAGAAGGCACGAGAUGAAACACUGCUUCCCCGGUGUCCUGGUUUCCGCUAGGACAGAGUUAAUUUUCUUCCUAGUAGCUGGUAUAGUGCUGUGUUUUGGAUUGAGUAGGAAAGUAAUGUUGAUAACACACUGAUGUUUUUAGUUGUUGCUAAGUAGUGUUUAUACUAAGCCAAGGAUUUUUCAGCUUCUCAUGCCCAGCCAGCAAGAAGGCUGGAGGGGCACAAGAAGCUGGGAGGGGACACCGCCAGGACAGCUGACCCAGACUGGCCAAAGAGCUAUUCCAUACCAUAUGCCAUCAUGCCCAGUAUAUAAACUGGGGGCGCUGGCUGCGAGGGGCGGAUCGCGGCUCGGGAACUAA